GAUCAUGGCUCAGGACGAACGCUGGCGGCGUGCCUAACGCAUGCAAGUCGAACGGAAGCAGAGAUUUCGGUUUUUGCUUUAGUGGCUAACGGGUGAGUAACGCGUGAGGAACCUGCCUUUCAGUGGGGGACAACAGUUGGAAACGGCUGCUAAUACCGCAUAAUGCUUUUUGAUGGCAUCAUUGAAAAGCCAAAGAUUUAUUGCUGAAAGAUGGCCUCGCGUCUGAUUAGCUAGUUGG
rnacentral:rRNA from 1 species